CUAGUACAAUAGAAUCUCCCUAUUCAACUGCUAGAAUAACCCCCUAUUGCUCUACCCCUUACUCAUAACAUUCCCCAUUCCUUGAAAUCAUUCUUGUCUUCAAGAAUGAAAAAAAUGAUGGAAAUGAAAUGAAUUUCAGGUGCUACCUUCUCAUCAGUUGACAUAAUGUGAGAAUCUCCCAUAGUACCUUCUGCUGGCCAGUUAAUUCCCUGAAU
rnacentral:misc_RNA from 1 species